CAUCCCGAGUCUGUGCUUCAGAACUCUGUCUAUCCUCCUAACUUUGGACCUGGUCUUCCCCCAGCUCAGCCGCCCCAGUGGAACGCCCCUCCAACCCAGCACAACCAAUCUGCACCUGUGAACUAUAUGCCAGCAAUGAACAGCGCUCCCCCUGGGCCUGAAAUCCCAGUGUAUAUGAAUAUGAAUGAAUUGCCGCCAACUGCACCAUUGCUCGCUCCUUAGCCUUAGAUUUUGCUGGGUGUUGUAAAUUACUGACCGCAACUCUAGCCCAGCUUCAGUCCACACAAAUCCAUUUCCCUCCUCCCACAUACUGUACCACAAAAAAUGACGGCCCUGUUGUGAUCUGGAUUAAAGACAAGGGCUACAACUGUCCUGAGUCUCAACUAAUAAAUUAACAAUAACUGGCCCUGCACUGGUCUUGGAUAUUUUGCAUUAUUGGUACAAAUUCUUCCUAA